GUGCCAGCAGCCGCGGUAAUACGUAGGGCGCAAGCGUUAUCCGGAAUUAUUGGGCGUAAAGAGCUCGUAGGCGGUUUGUCGCGUCUGCUGUGAAAUCCCGAGGCUCAACUUCGGGUCUGCAGUGGGUACGGGCAGACUAGAGUGCGGUAGGGGAGAUUGGAAUUCCUGGUGUAGCGGUGGAAUGCGCAGAUAUCAGGAGGAACACCGAUGGCGAAGGCAGAUCUCUGGGCCGUAACUGACGCUGAGGAGCGAAAGGGUGGGGAGCAAACAGGCUUAGAUACCCUGGUAGUCCACCCCGUAAACGUUGGGAACUAGUUGUGGGGUCCAUUCCACGGAUUCCGUGACGCAGCUAACGCAUUAAGUUCCCCGCCUGGGGAGUACGGCCGCAAG
rnacentral:rRNA from 1 species